CCUUUCCCAACAAGAAAUAAGAAGAAAGAGAAACAUGAGAAGAACUUUGAAAAGUUCUUGGAGAUGUUCAAAAAGCUUGAAAUUAAAAAUAAGAAGAAAGAGAAACAUGAGAAGAACUUUGAAAAGUUCUUGGAGAUGUUCAAAAAGCUUGAAAUUAACAUUCCGUUCUUGGAGGCACUUGAGCAAAUGCCCUCUUAUGCUAAAUUCAUGAAAUACAUCAUUUCAAAAAAGAGGAGCACUGUCACUGACUCUAUUGUACUAACCG
rnacentral:lncRNA from 1 species